UUCAAAGAGAGCAAGAGAGAGCUGCUCUUGGAGAAUUCACCUGGAAGGAGACCUUAGCUUUGGAACUUGCUGCCCGUGGCCCCUUCUCAGUAGCUCAAAUCUGUUGAUCUACAGGGGUGAGCUACAAACUUCUCUACUCCCCAGGUUUUGAGAGCUGGAAAGUUUCUAAAUCAUUGCUGGACACAAAGCUCUUCUCAAAGAAGUGGUUUCUUUUGGCAUGGAAGGAUAAUUGCCGGAAAUUACCUGUGAAUGCCUUAUUUUUUGGACAGGCCAGACAUGCGUACUACACUCCUCCUCCCUGCGCUCCAACAGCUGGUGACAGGAAAUCAUCCAUAGUUUUGAACUGAGGUUGGGAGAAGUUUCCAUGCUGAGCUGAACUAUUCACCCACCUUGUCUGUUUGGUUGGAAA